CUCCCUCCCUCCUUCCUGCUUGACCCAUUUUCCCUCUUCCACAGUAUGCUCAAUAAAGUAAAUUUUAAAAAAAGGGCAAAUAGCAAAGAGACUAUGGAUUCAAUGCAAUCCUUAUAUAUACACCCCCAUUCCUUGCUAGUGCUGGCGACUGGACCCAGGGUUUUGUACCUGUGGCUUACCAAAACUUAGCUGUUUAUUUUCUGAAAAUAUGUUCUUAAAUUUCAUUUGGAAAUGGCAAGGGAUUCCCCCCACCGAAAAAAAGCCAAAACAAAGAGAGGGUUUUACACUGUCCAUUCAUAAAUCAGAAUGACUGAAUGGACUUACAGGAAACACAUGCAUCCCCUCACCCACAAAUUAAAGGCUGAGAUGGCUCUCGGAGCUGAGGAGAUGGAGGUCUGAGGCGUCCCUUCCGUCUGCAGCCAGUGAGUCUAAAGCGGUAGUAUAGGGCCGGCUGGCAAGCCAGGUCAGCAGGUAGCGCACGUGCCAUCCAAGCCUGAUGACCUAAGUUCUGACUGCUGGGCGUCACGGAGCAGAGAACCAACUCCCGGAAGUGGUCCUCUGACCUCUACAUGGGCUGAGGCAUGCGUGCGCCUGCGCAUCAGGUGCGCAUGCGGAUAAUAAUGACAUCGAUAGAGCACUACGCUUGUUCCUGGAGAUUUGCAAGACGCCAGCAUCAUCAGAAAUCAGGCAACAGGAACAGAAGUAGUUGCAGGCUUCUGUCUGACAGGAAUGGAGAUACUCAUGUGUCUGUAGCACGUUGUGCCUUUUGCUUGACUUUCGUCCAUGGGAACAUUUCUAAGUUCCUGGCUACUCCUGGCUUUGGGGAAGAUGGGCUAGCAGCUUGGAGCAAACUGAUCAACCCUGGCAUCUGGACCUGGCCUGGGACCUUCCAUCAUGUCGAAGGAGGACACUAUCUACAGGAUUAACCCUGAGACUGCACAGGGUGAUGUGGGAAGGAGUCGCUGACAUCUCUGGCAUAUCUGUUCUUCCUACAUUGUAAACUUUGACACAACCCUGUCUAUUUGGCCUGGGAGAAAUUAGCCUGUGAAAUUAUCUGUACCAAUCCACAACCUGGUCUACAGUUAUCUAUAGCCAUGUCCACAUACAAUAUAAAACGGUCUCUACAUAGGUUCUGUAAAACACACACGCAGACACACAGACACGCACAUAUAGACACACCCACACACUCACACGACUGGGGUAGGGGAUGGGGAGGAAGGGAGGGAGGAAGGGAGGGAGGGAGGGAAGGAAGGAUGAAUUCUGUAGCAAGCCAUUGACUUGAACCCCAACAUCUGAUCCGAAACCCGAAGGUUCAGAAGAAUGACAAAAUGUCCUCACGUUGGAAGCAAGGUGAUGUUCAAACCCAUCCAUUAGCUAUUCUGUGGGCCGGAACUGGAAUCCAAAGAAGGCUCUCCACACAGUAAGAGCCCGAUUGCUCCUCCUGGUACUCAGAGAACUGCUUCCUCUCCCCUGCUCCGAGUUCCUCACGUGACCUCCCGGAACUGGAGUUCCUGGCGGUCUCCUGAGUCCUCCCUCAUUCCGUGCCCUCUUUUCAUUCCAUAGCCUUCCAAUGAAUUUCUAACCUCAGUGCCAUGUCUCCACCAUGCAGAUCAGGCCGUUUGGCCCCAGCCAGACUAACCUCCCUCCUCCACACAGGGCCUUUUGGAGCUCCCUGCCAUGCUGGAAUAGUCUCCGUGGACCUGGGACAACAAGAAAGCUGUCUUCUGGGGGUUCCUGUGAACCUUUCAGAACUCACAACACCCCCCCCCUUAUAGGCCUGAGGUGCUGCCCUCGGCUUGCUAUUCUGCUGUCCUCUAGGCUCAGGUUGUCGCUUGUGAUUUGCCUGCCUGCACGUCUGGAAGGUAAAGCCCUCAGGGCGGAUGAAGGAUCAGGAUGAAGGCUCAGAUGGCCAGUAGUGAAAGCCUAGGUAAAGGAGCCAUGGCUGGUGAGGAGUGUGUCCUCAGAAAGACACAGCCCUCCCAGGAACUCCACCAAGGACAACUUCCAACACCUUCUGUUUGGCUUAAGAAUUCCACCUGCUCGGGGCUGGGGAUUUAGCUCAGUGGUAGAGCGCUUACCUAGGAAGCGCAAGGCCCUGGGUUCGGUCCCCAGCUCCGAAAAAAAGAACCAAAAAAAAAAAAAAAAAAGAAUUCCACCUGCUCGCUAAGGAGCUUGACACAUUGUUCCACAAAUGAAGAUUCCUAGACAAUAAAGGACGGAGCUGUAGAUUAUAGAUUUUGAGCUGGAAUGUUGGUUUCCUGCCCUCGAAUCUGUGCUCUUUUGUCAGAACCAACUGCCUGGCUGGCUCCUCCUCUUCCUCAGGCUUACUAAAGCAGAGACUGGACCGGAAGCCUUCCCUGAGAUGGCGGGUGGGGGUGGGGCUUAGGCGUGGACGAUGCUUGGGAGGCGUGGUUUGUGAAUGCCCUAGUUCUUUUUCAUCUGGCUAGGGAAGAUUGUAGCACACACUCGCUCCUAAUUCGAUUUUGUUUUAUCCUAGAGAAGUCAUAUAAAGGAAGGAAUGAAAAUUGACACUCCAUUUUAUUUCGUAUGCUUUUAUCAACACAUUCUGUUGGGAAAAAAAGGAGGGAGUGUCUGGCUCACAAUUGCAUUUUUUUUUUAAUUUGUUCUGUUUUGUUUAGGCAGAGGAGUGUUUGAGGGCUCAGCAUCUCCUUGGCUCAUCCUGACUGGGUUCUAAUCCUUGGCAUUUGAGCUGUUUAUGGAAAUGGUCACAGUCAAACGUGGUCCCAUCCCACUGCUGUUUGUCACACUGGGCAAGAAGAGGUCCCGGGACCUGUUGCAAUAGUAGCUGGAGACGCAGCUCCCGCUAAUGCUCUCAGGGACACCUGACAAUUCUCAGGUUACAAGACAUCCGUGCUUUCUCCCAAUUCACAAACUGUCAAGAGGGGUACGCCAGCUGCCUGGUAACUCUACUGUCACCGCCACGUGUACAGAUUCCCUUAACAUCCGGAUGACUGUGGAUACUAGUUAGCAGUCCUAAUUUUGAUGCGCACUGUAACCAGCUACCUCACACUGCUCCUGGCAUGCCUACUCUUCCACGGUGGACUAUAUCCCUUCCUUCUUAGAUGAUCCAACAAGGCUCUUGUGGCUUCAGGAUACAGCGAGGAGGAGGAGGACAUUGGAAGAGGAGCCACAUUGGUGAACAGAGAACAGUGAGAGCAGGGAGGAGCAGCAGCCAUUGGGGACGACUCUCCAAAUGCCUAGCACGCCAGGCCUGGGGUGCAGAAGAAACUCAUCAACGGCAGAACUCGACUUCUCACACUUCAGGGGGAAAUGUCAAUCACAGCUCAGGAGGGUAAUGUCAUGGCAUAUUUGAGAUGGUUCAUAGAUGGCACCUCCUCAUUGGAUCCUCCCAGGGGCAAAGGAGCAGUGGGUCUCUCCCAGCCUUUUUUCACAAGUGUGCUGAUGUCACUUCUGGGGGCUCUAGACUCGUGACCUCAAUGUCCCUGCCCUAAUGCCAUCACGAUGAGCAUGUCUCAUUGCAUAUGAACUUCGUGUGUCUCAUUACAUAUGGCUCAUAACAUACAUACAUUGGAUGACGCUAACAUCAGACCACAUGUGUUGGUAAUACUGACUGUCACCUUGACAGGUUCUGGGGUAACCUAGGAGAUGAACCUUGUACUGGCUGGUUCUGUAUGUCAACUCAACACAAGCUGCAGUUAUCACAGAGAAAGGGGCCUCCCUUGGGGAAAUGCCUCCAUGAGAUCCAGCUGUAAGGCGUUUUCUCAAUUAGUGAUCAAGGGUGGGAAGGCCCAUUGUGGGUGGUGCCAACCCUGGGCUGGUGGUCCUGGGUUCUAUAAGAAAGCAGGUUGAGCAAGCCAGGGGAAGCAAGCCAGUAAGCAAUAUCCCUCCAUGGCCUCUGCAUCAGCUCCUGCCUCCAGGUUCCUGCCCUGUGUGAGUUCCUCUCCUGACUACCUUUGGUGAUGAGAAGCAAUGUGGAAGUGUAAGCUGAAUAAACUCUUUCCUUCCCAA